GCGGGUAUGAGGGGGUCCGGGAGAUUGAGAAGCGGUUGACGAACACUGUGGGAUGGAGUGCAACGUCGGGGCAGGUGGACAAUUGGGUGUACGAGGAGGCGAAUGCCACGUUCAUUGAGGAUGAAGAGAUGAGAAAGCGGCUGAUGGAUACCAACCCCAACUCGUUCAGGAAGCUGCUGCAGACUUUCCUCGAGGCCAGCGGACGGGGGUACUGGGAGACAUCUGAGGAAAACCUUGAGAUGCUGCGCCAGUUGUACUCGGAGGCCGAGGACAAGAUUGAAGGGAUCGAUCGGUGAUUUUCUGGUCCAAUA
rnacentral:misc_RNA from 1 species